rnacentral:rRNA from 1 species
ACGAACGCUGGCGGCGUGCUUCACACCUGCAAGUCGCACGGAAAGGCCCUGCUUGCAGGGUACUCGAGUGGCGAACGGGUGAGUAACACGUGGGUGAUCUGCCCUGCACUUCGGGAUAAGCCUGGGAAACUGGGUCUAAUACCGGAUAGGAGCCAUUUUUAGUGUGAUGGUUGGAAAGUUUUUUCGGUGUAGGAUGAGCUCGCGGCCUAUCAGCUUGUUGGUGGGGUAAUGGCCUACCAAGGCGGCGACGGGUAGCCGGCCUGAGAGGGUGGACGGCCACAUUGGGACUGAGAUACGGCCCAGACUCCUACGGGAGGCAGCAGUGGGGAAUAUUGCACAAUGGGCGCAAGCCUGAUGCAGCGACGCCGCGUGGGGGAUGACGGCCUUCGGGUUGUAAACUCCUUUCGCUAGGGACGAAGCUUUUUGUGACGGUACCUAGAUAAGAAGCACCGGCUAACUACGUG